CUUUCCAAAGAGAACUGGCAGACCGCUCAGGAAUAAGCCAGUCGUGUUUGAGCCGUGCAAUGCCACCUGUAUGGGACGGCAUCAUCCGCUUGUCUACCAGGUAUAUAACGUUCCCAUACGAUGCAGGUGACCAGCCAAACAUCAAAGCGCAAUUUGCAGCGAUAGCCGGUUUUCCUAAUGUAAUCGGAGCGAUCGACUGCACACAUAUUGCUAUAAAGGCGACAUCUGAAGACGAAUUUGCAUAUGUGAAUCGGAAACAUUUCCAUUCAAUAAAUGUGCAGAUUAUAUGUGAUGCACAAAUGCGCCUAACAAAUAUUGUGGCAAGGUGGCCUGGGUCAACCCAUGAUUCAUAUAUCCUUACAAACAGCAUGGUUGGGAUGAGACUCCAAGCUGGCAGGGUGCGCGAUGGGUGGCUACUUGGUAAGUUAUGCAUUUAAAUGUAUGGUUCUAUCUAAAAGUAAAAUGUUUGUGUCUGUAAUUAUUAUUACUGCCCAUCAGGAGACAGUGGUUAUCCACUAAAGACGUGGCUGUUAACCCCCUCACCAACCCACAAACUGACCGAGAGCGCAGAUACAAUGAUGCCCAUUCCCGCACUCGGUCAGUUGUGGAGCGGGCGAUUGGGCAGCUGAAAUGUCGGUGGCGCUGCCUUGACAGGACCGGGGGAUGCUGUUAUACCGCCCUGACAAGGUUUGCCGCAUCAUACUGGCCUGUGGAGUGCUGCACAAUGUCGCGCACAGGCAUGGCAUACCCCUUGGUGAGGUGGGGGCACCGCCAGAGGACCCUGACCCAGGACCAGUAUAUGUGCAGCACAAUCAACAAGCCAUUCAGGCCCGUCAACGUGUAAUUGCGACAAUAUAAAUGAACAGCAUGCGUCAAGACACGGCCAGAUGGACGGGCUUCAGCACUGGGGGGAACAUUAGAGACACGGGAGACGCUGGACUGAAUGGGCUCUGGCUGCUCAGGUGGUGCGGACUCUGAGUGCGUGCCAGUGGACGUUCCUGCGGUUCCUAAGUCCAAUUAAACACAGGCACAUCUUAACAGUAAUUUGAGUCUGUUCCUUAUUAAUGGGUACACGCAUUUGCAAUAAAAGCAGUGGAUACGUGAAAUCUCUGGUGUACCUUUUGCUAUAUUGCAUGCAUUUUAAAAUUAAACGGUGGCUGGCUAUGUAUAUCAAAGUUAAGGAAAUAAAUCUGAGUCACCUUG